UGAUGAUGGUGAGGGAAAUAUUUGAGCAUACACUUAAAUCUUCUCUCCCAAGCUUGGUAGAGAUUCUCUCUUUCUUUCUGUCUAAAACUCACGAUCACACUUCUUAAAUG
rnacentral:snoRNA from 1 species